UCCGCUGAAGCAAGGUUUGCGAAAGCUAGCACGUCUUCUCCAUCUGCCCCAACUUGUGGCGCAUUGGCCAAAAGCGUUGACGUUUUCGUGCAAGGACGAAGACGAGGACGACGACAAGCCAGGACCGUAUCCAGUCCCAGAGAAUAACAUCAUGGUAGAGAUGAGUGCGGUGCGGCACGACCAGCGUCCACUAGAUUUCACCGAAACGUCGGUUAACCAUGUGCCAGACUCCAUAGAGGCCGGAAGCAUCGGCAUGUGUUCGUCGCCUGGUGACAGCAUAACUCAACAGAGCGCUCCCAAGCUGCACGACAGCGACAAGGUCGUACAG